rnacentral:tRNA from 1 species
CAGGGAGACAACAAAAUGUUUAAUAUUAUUAUUUUGUCACCUUAGGUCGAUCGGUAUCUCACAUUCUUGAUUUAUUAAGAAUUUCAUUUCCUAAGUUUUUCUAGGUCACACCCAUUAUUUUUCCUGGGCCAUUAGCUCAGGUGGUUAGAGCGCACCCCUGAUAAGGGUGAGGUCCCUGGUUCAAGUCCAGGAUGGCCCAUAUCUCUAUGUUGGGGGUAUAGCUCAGUUGGUAGAGCGCCUGCUUUGCAAGCAGGAUGUCAGCGGUUCGAGUCCGCUUACCUCCACUGAUUACCACCUCUUCCAUAUUUAGAAUAGAAGAAGGGAAAAAUUUUGAGUUGUGAUAAUUAUUCUGAACGAAUCUAGCUUCCUGAUGAAAUCAUUAAGAUGCUGGACUCAUUGAAUUAAUUUCAUUGAUUUCAGAGAACCUUGACAACUGCAUAGAUUAUUUUUAAAGACAAUAAGCAUCUUUAAUGAUGCAGAUUUAUUAUUUGUGCAAAUGCAUUAAUAACAAUUCUAUUAAGCUGAUGCUUCAAUUUUGAAGUUAUU